rnacentral:tRNA from 1 species
GCCCGGGUGGCGAAAUGGCAGACGCUGGGGACUUAAAAUCCCCUUCCCGCAAGGGAGUGUGGGUUCGAUCCCCACCCCGGGCACCA